AGGUUCUUUAAUUUUUCUGGUUUCCCUGGAGUGGUGAGGUUCUGGCAAGGAAAUUCCUUAUAGAUUUGAGUCUUUGGUUUAUGAGAAUUUUCCCAUUUCCAGUAAGGUAGUUUGUAUUCUUGCCAUCGAAACCUUUGUAAUAAUUCAGUGGUCCUCAGAAGCACUGCUUAGCCACGUAACAUGGAGUUUAAGAGUACGACUUUGUGGCGUAGUGCUAUUUUUAUGCCCCACCCAUUUCAUUUUCCUUUUGUUUUAUAACCCUUUCAGGUUCAGUGAAUAGUGCUAACCAUGAUAUGGAGCCAGUCAGCUCUCGCUGUAUAGAGACCAAGUUGCAGCCGAGACAACCGGGAGAGUGAGAGAAUUCUUUUUAGUUGCUGCCUCCAGAUUGACUCUGACUCAGCAACUUCAACAGUUGUUUCAGUUGUAAAGCGAUGGCUGCCUCGCCGGAAGCCAUAGUUCCGGCCACGCCCCCAACUAGGGAGAAAUGCUGUAAUCGCAAACCUGAGUAAUGGCCGCCAUGCUGAAAGACAUAGUUCGGACAGAAGGAGGGAUGCUGUAAUCCGGAACCAGAGAUAAUACUGCCACGCUGGAAGCCAUAGUUCCAGUAAAGUUCACAGCCAGGGUGAAAUGCUGUAAGGAGUUGUACCACUCGCAGUGGGGAGCAUGAAGUUGGUGGUAAACCAGUUGGAUAAGCAGCAGCAGACUGUUUCUACUAUCAUCGCAGAGACCUUGCAAUGUGGACUGGACUCGCAAGGUAACGGGUAUCGCAGCUCACAGGCUGACCCUCUUUGCCUUUUACCUCGAGUGGAGGAAUGUGUACCCAACAUCUGUGGAGUAGUUCAGCCCGAGCAUUAUGCAGAUGGAGACCUGUCCCAACUGUUGGAGUCGGGAUGAGCAUUUCCAGUUGACGAAACGAGAUUGAACCUGGCAGAAAUCAUCGACGCUGUGGAGUAUCUGCAGAAAAUAAGAGUCGUACACCGAGGCCACUUUGCUGUCGCAGAUAUGGUUUAUGCAAACAAUUUGUCAGCUCUGAAGAGGGUGAUCGUGCGUAUUCGCAGUGUGGCACAAGUCAGUACAUGGCGCCAGAGAUAUUCAUCGGCGAAGGCUACAGCCAUAAAUUGGACUGGUGGAGUGUCGGUGUAAUGAUGAUCGGGUGCAGCCCCUUUCCAUAUAACGAAUAUAGAAAUGAAGAAGAACUCCGUAGUAGCCCCCAUCAGGCGUAGCCUGACGUUGAAUCUAGAAGCUACGUCGUCGCCCAAACAGAGACUUGGCUUGUCAUUAAAUCUUGGAGGAACAUCUUUCAUAUCUGCCCUAGGAGACUCUGUUGAUGUGCAACUCCCCCUAGAAUGCCAGGGUGAACAGCUUCGCCCAGAAUUUCUUGCUCCCGAAGAAUAAUCGUGUGAUAGCCUGCCAUCAUCUCCAGCAAUGGUUGAGGUCAGUGGUACAACCAUGGCAGAAGCUGGCUCACUAGCAUUUCCCACAUCAUCACCAGCACCAUCUGCAACAUCUGGGGACUCCAACUCCCACCAUUUAGCACCUGAACAAGAUCGGCAGUCUCAAUCAGGAGAUUAACAAGCAGACUGAGCAGAUGUGUCAUUUGUUGGCAAUUUGUUUCGUCCUUCAUCCUCAAUGCAUUUAUGAAUCAAUACAUCAGGUGUUAAGAUAGAACUACCAUGAGAAGAUGCAGUACAGAGAACUAAGUGUGUACGCCGUCCUGACCCGAGUGAUGACCGAGAUGUAAUUGCUCGACAUGCUGAAAUAUAUCCAAAAGAAGAUGAACUGCAAGCUGUUCAGCGUAUAGCGUCACACACUGAGAAGGCACUGAAGUUUGUGUCGGACCAUUUGCCUGACUUGGCUGACUUUGCGGCAAAACAGGCAACUGCUGCUAAGCCUGUGGUUGGUGCAGGGGCUAAACCUGUCGGUGUGGGGACCGAGGUUGUAAAUCCACCUGUUAAAAGUGGCACAGCAGGUAAACCUAUUCCUGGAAUUGAAACCUGCUGUUGGAACCAAGAUCAUUGCUGGAAACUCACCUGCAGUUAAGCCUGCAGGCCAAGGUCCAGUAAAAACUUAACCCAUAGAGAAGGUUAAACCAGAUGCAGUUAAA